rnacentral:rRNA from 1 species
UAGUCCACGCUGUAAACGAUGUCGAUUUGGAGUUUGUUGCCUAGAGUGAUGGGCUCCGAAGCUAACGCGAUAAAUCGACCGCUGGGGAGUACGGCCGCAAGGUUAAAACUCAAAUGAAUUGACGGGGGCCCGCACAAGCGGUGGAGCAUGUGUUAAUUCGAUGCAACGCGAAGAACCUUACCUGGUCUUGACAUCCAUAGAAUUCUGCAGAGAUGUGGGAGUGCCUUCGGGAACUAUGAGACAGGUGCUGCAUGGCUGUCGUCAGCUCGUGUUGUGAAAUGUUGGGUUAAGUCCCGCAACGAGCGCAACCCUUAUUCUUUGUUGCCAGCGAUUUGGUCGGGAACUCAAAGGAGACUGCCGUUGAUAAAGCGGAGGAAGGUGGGGACGACGUCAAGUCAUCAUGGCCCUUACGACCAGGGCUACACACGUGCUACAAUGGCGUAUACAAAGGGAAGCGAAGGUGCGAGCUGGAGCGGAUCUCAUAAAGUACGUCUAAGUUCGGAUUGGAGUCUGCAACUCGACUCCAUGAAGUCGGAAUCGCUAGUAAUCGUAGAUCAGAAUGCUACGGUGAAUACGUUCCCGGGCCUUGUACACACCGCCCGUCACACCAUGGGAGUGGGUUGCACCAGAAGUAGAUAGCUUAACCGCGAGGGGGGCGUUUACCACGGUGUGAUUCAUGACUGGGGUGAAGUCGUAACAAGGUAACCA